rnacentral:rRNA from 1 species
GAUGAACGUUGGCGGCGUGCCUAAUACAUGCAAGUCGAGCGAACAGACGAGGAGCUUGCUCCUUUGAUGUUAGCGGCGGACGGGUGAGUAACACGUGGGUAACCUACCUAUAAGACUGGGAUAACUUCGGGAAACCGGAGCUAAUACCGGAUAAUAUUUCGAACCGCAUGGUUCGAUAGUGAAAGAUGGCUUUGCUAUCACUUAUAGAUGGACCUGCGCCGUAUUAGCUAGUUGGUAAGGUAACGGCUUACCAAGGCAACGAUACGUAGCUGACCUGAGAGGGUGAUCGGCCACACUGGAACUGAGACACGGUCCAGACUCCUACGGGAGGCAGCAGUAGGGAAUCUUCCGCAAUGGGCGAAAGCCUGACGGAGCAACGCCGCGUGAGUGAUGAAGGUCUUCGGAUCGUAAAACUCUGUUAUUAGGGAAGAACAAACGUGUAAGUAACUGUGCACGUCUUGACGGUACCUAAUCAGAAAGCCACGGCUAACUACGUGCCAGCAGCCGCGGUAAUACGUAGGUGGCAAGCGUUAUCCGGAAUUAUUGGGCGUAAAGCGCGCGUAGGCGGUUUUUUAAGUCUGAUGUGAAAGCCCACGGCUCAACCGUGGAGGGUCAUUGGAAACUGGAACACUUGAGUGCAGAAGAGGAAAGUGGAAUUCCAUGUGUAGCGGUGAAAUGCGCAGAGAUAUGGAGGAACACCAGUGGCGAAGGCGACUUUCUGGUCUGUAACUGACGCUGAUGUGCGAAAGCGUGGGGAUCAAACAGGAUUAGAUACCCUGGUAGUCCACGCCGUAAACGAUGAGUGCUAAGUGUUAGGGGGUUUCCGCCCCUUAGUGCUGCAGCUAACGCAUUGAGCACUCCGCCUGGGGAGUACGACCGCAAGGUUGAAACUCAAAGGAAUUGACGGGGACCCGCACAAGCGGUGGAGCAUGUGAUUUAAUUCGAAGCAACGCGAAGAACCUUACCAAAUCUUGACAUCCUUUGACCCUUCUAGAGAUAGAAGUUUCCCCUUCGGGGGACAAAGUGACAGGUGGUGCAUGGUUGUCGUCAGCUCGUGUCGUGAGAUGUUGGGUUAAGUCCCGCAACGAGCGCAACCCUUAAGCUUAGUUGCCAUCAUUAAGUUGGGCACUCUAAGUUGACUGCCGGUGACAAACCGGAGGAAGGUGGGGAUGACGUCAAAUCAUCAUGCCCCUUAUGGUUUGGGCUACACACGUGCUACAAUGGACAAUACAAAGGGCAGCGAAACCGCGAGGUCAAGCAAAUCCCAUAAAGUUGUUCUCAGUUCGGAUUGUAGUCUGCAACUCGACUACAUGAAGCUGGAAUCGCUAGUAAUCGUAGAUCAGCAUGCUACGGUGAAUACGUUCCCGGGUCU